AUCACUUCUUGGCCUUUUGGCUAAGAUCAAGUGUAGUAUCCAGUAAUCAGUAAAGAAUGGCUUCAUGUCUAGUUCCCUUGGUGAAAAGCAAAGUCAUUCAUCUGUUUUUUAUCUAAUCAUCU
rnacentral:snRNA from 1 species